rnacentral:misc_RNA from 1 species
AAACUUUCUUCUGAACCAUAUUGUCCAGAAUGGUAGAAGCACUUCUGCAAAAACUGCUCCAUCUUUUCAGUGCAAUUUUCCCUCUCACCUACUCUGCAGGUCAGAGUUUCGCUAAUCAUAUUCCUGAGCUCCUCAUCAGUUAAUUUACUACGAGCAUAACCGAAAACUGUAAAAUGCUUAGGAAGACAGUCUGCAUAAUAAAGAGAAAAAAGUGCUGGAAAG